rnacentral:rRNA from 1 species
UACGUAGGGUGCAAGCGUUAAUCGGAAUUACUGGGCGUAAAGGGCGCGUAGGCGGUGUAUUAAGUUAGAUGUGAAAUCCCUGGGCUUAACCUAGGAACUGCAUCUAAGACUGAUACGCUAGAGUGCGGUAGAGGAUAGUGGAAUUUCCGGUGUAGCGGUGAAGUGCGUAGAUAUCGGAAGGAACACCAGUGGCGAAGGCGGCUAUCUGGACUGACACUGACGCUGAGGCGCGAGAGCGUGGGGAGCAAACAGG